CCUACGGGGGGCAGCAGUGAGGAAUAUUGGUCAAUGGUCGAGAGACUGAACCAGCCAAGCCGCGUGAGGGAGGAAGGCCCUGUGGGUUGUAAACCUCUUUUGUCAGGGAACAAAAACCGGGACGCGUCCCGGGCUGCGUGUACCCGAAGAAAAAGCAUCGGCUAACUCCGUGCCAGCAGCCGCGGUAAUACGGAGGAUGCGAGCGUUAUCCGGAUUUAUUGGGUUUAAAGGGUGCGUAGGCGGUCCGUUAAGUCAGCGGUAAAAGUGCGGGGCUCAACCCCGUCGAGCCGUUGAAACUGGCAGACUUGAGUUGGCGAGAAGUACGCGGAAUGCGCGGUGUAGCGGUGAAAUGCAUAGAUAUCGCGCAGAACUCCGAUUGCGAAGGCAGCGUACCGGCUCCAGACUGACGCUGAGGCACGAAAGCGUGGGUAUCGAACAGGAUUAGAUACCCGAGUAGUC
rnacentral:rRNA from 1 species